AAUACACUUGUUACUGUGUUUAUAACUAUGUUUAUUCAUCUAUUACUAUGUCUUUUAGAACCAAAUUUUAGGAUAUACUUUAGGAUAGAUUUAGGAUAUAGUUUAGGAAGCACCUUAUAGGGUUGUUGUUAUUUCAUACUGUUUGAGUACACACUUCAUAUGAUCAUAGAAUAGUUAGGGUUAGAAUAGGAUAGUUAGGGUUGGAAAGGACUUCCAGUAACUUCAUGGUAUGUCACAAGACUACUCUUUGACUGGCUCUUUAGCUUUGGUAGUAAAAAAGCAGAAAGAAUUACAACAGUCAUAUCUCUUUGCCUUGCCAUCUGCAUCCUGCAGAAUGGAAAAUAAGAAAGAAAGUAUUCUGAAAGAGUCUUUGGAUUAGGAAAGAAAUGACAGAAAGAUAUUUGUGAAUGCAGAAGAACUACUGCUACACCUUGAAAAAGAUUCAGAUAAGCUCCAGAAGAGUACUGCUUGCUGUUGGAAUACAGCUGCAUAUCUUAGACACCUGUUAAGGUCCAGAAGUAAAGAGAAACUUGUUUCUAAAAGAAAAUGCAGGCAGGCAACAGAAAGGAGCACUGAAUUGCACCACUGUGUUUUCAUUGACAACUGCUCAUGGUGGGCAGAGAGAUGCUGAAACAGAAACAAAAGAAACAACAAGGAAACAAAAUUGAAAAAAAUCUAA